GGGCUUGUAUGGAUUUGACGGCAAGACGAAAUGGUAUGUAAGCAUGCGGAGCAUCGACUAUUAGAUAGUUGAACGAGACACUGCUCCAAAGAUGUUGUUCCGAAUCGGAGGGUAAAGCGGUGCAGGUUAAAUCGGAAAUAGUUUGGGUAUGCCUCGCUGCCCAAAUGAAAUUUAGAGGAUAAGGCAUUGGUUGGUGGUUCAGGUCUUGCCAAUGCUCGAAAACAAAAGGCUGAAAUAAGCAUGUAGAAAGCGUAUGGUUUCCUUGUGCGGACCGGAGU
rnacentral:tmRNA from 1 species